rnacentral:rRNA from 1 species
UACGUAGGGUGCGAGCGUUGUCCGGAAUUAUUGGGCGUAAAGAGCUUGUAGGCGGUUUGUCGCGUCUGCUGUGAAAAUCCGGGGCUCAACCCCGGACUUGCAGUGGGUACGGGCAGACUAGAGUGUGGUAGGGGAGACUGGAAUUCCUGGUGUAGCGGUGAAAUGCGCAGAAUAUCAGGAGGAACACCGAUGGCGAAGGCAGGUCUCUGGGCCACUACUG